AUUGAACGCUGGCGGCAUGCCUUACACAUGCAAGUCGAACGGCAGCACGGGUGCUUGCACCUGGUGGCGAGUGGCGAACGGGUGAGUAAUACAUCGGAACGUACCUUAUCGUGGGGGAUAACGCAGCGAAAGCUGUGCUAAUACCGCAUACGCCCUGAGGGGGAAAGCGGGGGAUCGCAAGACCUCGCGCGAUUAGAGCGGCCGAUGCCUGAUUAGCUUGUUGGUGGGGUGAAAGCCCACCAAGGCGACGAUCAGUAGCUGGUCUGAGAGGACGAUCAGCCACACUGGGACUGCGACACGGGCCAGACUCCUGCGGGAGGGAGCAGUGGGGAAUUUUGGACAAUGGGUGCAACCCUGAUCCAGCAAUGGCUCGUGAGUGAAGAAGGCCUUCGGGUUGGAAAGCUCUUUUGUCAGGGAAGAAACACCGGCUCUAACACAGUCUGGGAAUGACGGUACCUGAAGAAUAAGCACCGGCUAACCACGUGCCAGCCGCCGCAGUAA
rnacentral:rRNA from 1 species